rnacentral:rRNA from 1 species
GGAUUACCUCAGUAACGGCGAGUGAAGCGGUAACAGCUCAAAUUUGAAAGCUAGCUCUUUUAGGGUUCGCAUUGUAAUUUGUAGAAGAUGCUUCGAGUGUGGCCCCGGUCUAAGUUCCUUGGAACAGGACGUCAUAGAGGGUGAGAAUCCCGUAUGUGACUGGGUGCUUUCGCUCAUGUGAAGCUCUUUCGACGAGUCGAGUUGUUUGGGAAUGCAGCUCAAAAUGGGUGGUAAAUUUCAUCUAAAGCUAAAUAUUGGCCAGAGACCGAUAGCGCACAAGUAGAGUGAUCGAAAGAUGAAAAGCACUUUGGAAAGAGAGUUAAACAGUACGUGAAAUUGUUGAAAGGGAAGCGCUUGCAACCAGACUUGCGCGCUGAUGAUCAUCCGGGCUUCUGCCCGGUGCACUCGUCUGCGCUCAGGCCAGCAUCGGUUUCGGUGGUGGGAUAAAGGCCUUGGGAAUGUGGCUCCUCUCGGGGAGUGUUAUAGCCCUCGGUGCAAUGCCGCCUACCGGGACCGAGGACCGCGCUUCGGCUAGGAUGCUGGCGUAAUGGUUGUAAGCGACCCGUCUUGAAACACGGACCAAGGAGUCUAACAUCUAUGCGAGUGUUUGGGUGUCAAACCCAUACGCGUAAUGAAAGUGAACGGAGGUGAGAACCCUUAAGGGUGCAUCAUCGACCGAUCCUGAUGUCUUCGGAUGGAUUUGAGUAAGAGCAUAGCUGUUGGGACCCGAAAGAUGGUGAACUAUGCGUGAAUAGGGUGAAGCCAGAGGAAACUCUGGUGGAGGCUCGCAGCGGUUCUGACGUGCAAAUCGAUCGUCAAAUUUGCGUAUAGGGGCGAAAGACUAAUCGAACC